rnacentral:rRNA from 1 species
ACACAUGCAAGUCGAACGAGAAUCUACUGAAAGAGUUUUCGGACGAUGGAAGUAGAGGAAAGUGGCGGACGGGUGAGUAACGCGUGAGGAACCUGCCUUGAAGAGGGGGACAACAGUUGGAAACGACUGCUAAUACCGCAUGAAGCAUAGGGGUCGCAUGAUUCUUAUGCCAAAGAUUUAUCGCUUCAAGAUGGCCUCGCGUCUGAUUAGCUAGUUGGCGGGGUAACGGCCCACCAAGGCGACGAUCAGUAGCCGGACUGAGAGGUUGAACGGCCACAUUGGGACUGAGAUACGGCCCAGACUCCUACGGGAGGCAGCAGUGGGGAAUAUUGGGCAAUGGGCGCAAGCCUGACCCAGCAACGCCGCGUGAAGGAAGAAGGCUUUCGGGUUGUAAACUUCUUUUAAGAGGGAAGAGCAGAAGACGGUACCUCUAGAAUAAGCCACGGCUAACUACGUGCCAGCAGCCGCGGUAAUACGUAGGUGGCAAGCGUUGUCCGGAUUUACUGGGUGUAAAGGGCGUGCAGCCGGGUCUGCAAGUCAGAUGUGAAAUCCAUGGGCUCAACCCAUGAACUGCAUUUGAAACUGUAGAUCUUGAGUGUCGGAGGGGCAAUCGGAAUUCCUAGUGUAGCGGUGAAAUGCGUAGAUAUUAGGAGGAACACCAGUGGCGAAGGCGGAUUGCUGGACGAUAACUGACGGUGAGGCGCGAAAGUGUGGGGAGCAAACAGGAUUAGAUACCCUGGUAGUCCACACUGUAAACGAUGAAUACUAGGUGUGCGGGGACUGACCCCCUGCGUGCCGCAGUAAACACAAUAAGUAUUCCACCUGGGGAGUACGAUCGCAAGGUUGAAACUCAAAGGAAUUGACGGGGGCCCGCACAAGCGGUGGAUUAUGUGGUUUAAUUCGAA